rnacentral:lncRNA from 1 species
CUUUGUAAGCUAUCUACCAAUUUGCUAUCGCAAUUCAUGCUUCGCCUUUCGGGCGAAACUGAGACAUUUUUCCUUACUCCCGAAAUCAGCGAAUAAGUGUUAAGUAUUGAAAUAUGCCUAUAAACAUAAUAUAUUUUAUGAGAGGCCGAGUGCGCUUUAACUGUCGGAAACCUAUUGAAGCUAUAUAGAAACAUAGUUAAAAGACAAGCGUUCCUGGCAACUGUAUCGGUAAUCGAGUAAAUAGCAACCUUAAGAAAUAC